GACGAACGCUGGCGGCGUGCCUAAUACAUGCAAGUCGAACGCAGUGGGGACGGGUGAGUAACACGUGGGUAACCUCCCAUCAGAGGGGAUAACACUUGGAAACAGGUGCUAAACCGAUACGGAUGGAGGGCCCGGCGGUGCAUUAGCUAGUUGGGGAGGAAACGGUUCACCAAGGCAACGAUGCAUAGCCGACCUGAGAGGGUGAUCUGCCACACUGGGACUGAGACACGGCCCAGACUCCUACGGGAGGCAGCAGUAGGGAAUCUUCGGCAAUGGACGAAAGUCUGACCGAGCAACGCCGCGUGAGUGAAGAAGGUUUUCGGAUCGUAAAACUCUGUUGUUAGAGAAGCGGUAUCUAACCAGAAAGCCACGGCUAACUACGUGCCAGCAGCCGCGGUAAUAC
rnacentral:rRNA from 1 species